rnacentral:lncRNA from 1 species
UGAGUGUCACACGUGUGCCCUGAGUGUCACACACGCGUGUCACCGUGUGUCACGUAUGUGCACUGAGUGUGUCAUGCGUGUGCCCUGAACGCCAUACGUGUGUGCUGAGUGUGACAUGCGUGUGCUGUGAGCGUCACGCGUGUUCCCUACGUGUCAUGUGUGUGUGUCCAUGAGUGUCAUACAUGUGCCCUGUCACGUGUGUGCCCUGCAUGUCAUAUGUGUGAGCUGAGUGUCACAUGCGUGUGCUGUGAGUGUCACACGUGUGUGUGUCCCUGUCACACGUGUGACCUGAGCAUCACACACGUGUGCUCUGAGCGUCAUACGUGUGUGUGCUGUGUCGUGUGUGUGCCCUGAGUGUCACACACGCGUGUCCCCAUGUCACGUAUGUGCACUGAGUCUGUCAUGAGUGUGCCCUGCGUGUCAUACGUGUGAGCUGAGUGUCACAUGCGUGUGCUGUGUCACGUGUUUGUGCCAUGAGUGUCACACGUGUGCCCUGAGCGUCACACAUGUGUGUUCUGAGCGUCAUACGUGUGUGUGCUGUGUCACGUGUGUGUGCCCUGAGUGUCACACGUGUGCCCUGAGCAUCACACGCGUGUGCUCUGAGCGUCAUACAUGUGUGUGCUGUGUCACGUGUGUGUGCCCUGAGUGUCACACGUGUGUGCUGUGUCACACGUGUGCCCUGAGCAUCACACGCGUGUGCUCUGAGCGUCAUACGUGUGUGUGCUGUGUCGUGUGUGUGCCCUGCGUGUCAUACGUGUGAGCUGAGUACAUACAUGUGUACGAUGUGAGUGUCACACGUGUGGGUGUCCCUGUCACACGUGUGCCCUGAGCAUCACACACGUGUGCUCUGAGCAUCAUAUGUGUGUGUGCUGUCACAUGUGUGUGCCAUGAGUGUUACACGUAUGUGUGGCCUGUCACGUGUGCGUGCCCUGAUUAUCACACGCGUGUGUGCUUUGAGUGUCGCAUCUGUGUGCUGUGUUACAUGUAUGUCCUGAGCGUCACACGUGUGCUUUGAGUGUCACAUGUGUGUGCCAUGAGUGUCACGUAUGUGCCCUGAGUGUCACACACGCGUGUCCCCGUGUGUCACGUGUGUGCGCUGAGUGUGUCAUGAGUGUGCCCUGAAGGCCAUACGUGUGUGCUGAGUGUGACAUGCGUGUGCUGGGAGCGUCACGCGUGUGCCCUGUGUGUCAUGUGUGUGUGUACCUGAGUGUGACACGUGUGCUCUGUCACAUGUGUGCCCCGCGUGUCAUACGUGUGAGUUGAAUGUCACAUGCGUGUGCUCUGAGUGUCACACGUGUGUGUGCUGUGUCACGUGUGUGUGCCCUGAUUAUCACACGCGUGUGUGCUUUGAGUGUCGCAUCUGUGUGCUGUGUCACAUGUAUGUCCUGAGUGUCACACGUGUGCUUUGAGUGUCACAUGUGUGUGUCAUUGAGUGUCACACGUGUGCCCUGAUUGUCACACACGCGUGUCCCUGAGUAUCACGUGUGUGUCCUGAGUGUGUCAUGAGUGUGCCCUGAAGGCCAUACGUGUGUGCUGAGUGUC